AACGAACGCUGGCGGCAUGCCUAACACAUGCAAGUCGAACGAGACCUUCGGGUCUAGUGGCGCACGGGUGCGUAACGCGUGGGAACCUGCCCUUAGGUUCGGAAUAACUCCCCGAAGGGGGUGCUAAUACCGGAUAAUGUCUUCGGACCAAAGAUUUAUCGCCUUUGGGUGGGCCCGCGUUGGUUUAGCUAGUUGGUAGGGUAAAAGCCUGCCAAGGCGACGAUCCAUAGCUGGUCUGAGAGGAUGAUCAGGCACACUGGGACUGAGACACGGCCCAGACUCCUACGGGAGGCAGCAGUGGGGAAUAUUGGACAAUGGGCGAAAGCCUGAUCCAGCAAUGCCGCGUGAGUGAUGAAGGCCUUAGGGUUGUAAAGCUCUUUUACCCGGGAUGAUAAUGACAGUACCGGGAGAAUAAGCUCCGGCUAACUACGUG
rnacentral:rRNA from 1 species